AGUAAGGUCAGCUAAACAAGCUACCGGGCCCAUACCCCGGAAAUGUUGGUUCAUAUCCUUCCCAUACUA
rnacentral:tRNA from 1 species